rnacentral:rRNA from 1 species
GCUAUCUGCAGUCGAGCGGACCAUUGGAGCUUGCUCCUUUGGUUUAGCGGCGGACGGGUGAGUAACACGUGGGCAACCUGCCCUGCAGAUCGGGAUAACUCCGGGAAACCGGUGCUAAUACCGAAUAGUUUGCGGCCUCUCAUGAGGCUGCACGGAAAGACGGUUUCGGCUGUCACUGCAGGAUGGGCCCGCGGCGCAUUAGCUAGUUGGUGGUGUACGUCUCUGCAAGUAAAUGUAUUUAAAUUCG